UGGAACACCGGUCCCCAUAAGAUCACCAAAGUUAAGCAACGUCGAUCCUGGUCAGUACAUAGAUGGGUGACCGCUUGGGAAUACCAGGUGUUGCAAG